GACGAACGCUGGCGGCGUGCCUAACACAUGCAAGUGGAGCGACGAACCAGGCUUCGGCCUGGGGCAAAGCCGCGAACGGGUGAGUAACACGUGGGUAACCUGCCCCGAUGACUGGGACAACCCGAGGAAACUCGGGCUAAUACCGGAUGUGCUCUGCCGGCAUAUGCCGGCUCGAGCAAAGGAAGCUUCGGCCUCCGCAU
rnacentral:rRNA from 1 species